GACGAACGCUGGCGGCGUGCCUAAUACAUGCAAGUAGAACGCUGAAGGAGGAGCUUGCUCUUCUGGAUGAGUUGCGAACGGGUGAGUAACGCGUAGGUAACCUGCCUGGUAGUGGGGGAUAACUAUUGGAAACGAUAGCUAAUACCGCAUAAUAACAGUUGUUGCAUGACAACUGUUUGAAAGGUGCAAUUGCAUCACUACCAGAUGGACCUGCGUUGUAUUAGCUAGUUGGUGGGGUAACGGCUCACCAAGGCGACGAUACAUAGCCGACCUGAGAGGGUGAUCGGCCACACUGGGACUGAGACACGGCCCAGACUCCUACGGGAGGCAGCAGUAGGGAAUCUUCGGCAAUGGACGAAAGUCUGACCGAGCAACGCCGCGUGAGUGAAGAAGGUUUUCGGAUCGUAAAGCUCUGUUGUAAGAGAAGAACGAGUGUGAGAGUGGAAAGUUCACACUGUGACGGUAGCGUACCAGAAAGGGACGGCUAACUACGUG
rnacentral:rRNA from 1 species